CGUCCAGACUCCUACGGGAGGCAGCAGUGGGGAAUAUUGCACAAUGGGGGAAACCCUGAUGCAGCGACGCCGCGUGAGUGAAGAAGUAUUUCGGUAUGUAAAGCUCUAUCAGCAGGAACGAGACAAGACGGUACCUGACUAAGAAGCCCCGGCUAACUACGUGCCAGCAGCCGCGGUAAUACGUAGGGGGCAAGCGUUAUCCGGAAUCACUGGGUGUAAAGGGAGCGUAGACGGCUGUGCAAGCCUGAAGUGAAAGCCCGGGGCCCAACCCCGGGACUGCUUUGGAAACUGCCAUGCUAGAGUGCUGGAGAGGUAAGCGGAAUUCCUAGUGUAGCGGUGAAAUGCGUAGAUAUUAGGAGGAACAUCAGUGGCGAAGGCGGCUUACUGGACAGUAACUGACGUUGAGGCUCGAAAGCGUGGGGAGCAAACAGGAUUAGAUACCCUAGUAUU
rnacentral:rRNA from 1 species